rnacentral:rRNA from 1 species
GAUUUCCCAUAACUUUAUGUUAGUAAGAGCCCUGAGAGAUGAUCAGGUAGAUAGGUUGGAAGUGGAAGUGUGGCGACACAUGUAGCGGACCAAUACUAAUCGCUCGAGGACUUAUCCAAA